AUGGGCGAUUUCAACCAAAUCUCAAGGGCCAGAGACAAAAACAAUAGAAAUGUCAACCGCAGUCGUAUUAACCGCUUUCGUGAUGCUCUCGACUCAUGCGAACUCAAAGAAAUUCACCUACAGAACAGACGUUUCACUUGGAGUAAUGAGCGGCAAAAUGCCACUUUAUGCAAGCUUGACUCGGUCUUCUGUAAUGCUGAUUGGGACAUGCAUUUUGGAUCGCACGUGCUCCACGCCAUCUCUUCCUCACUCUCAGAUCAUUGUCCUCUCCUCCUCGCUGAUGAUAAAGGGCCAAAGCGACCAAGAUGCUUCAAGUUUGAGAAUUUCUGGACAUGUCUUCCAGGCUUCCGAGACAUCAUGCUCAAAGCUUGGGCGGAUCCAUGCGAGCAUACUAAGCCUUGCCAAUGGCUUUUCUUCAAGCUAAAGCACACAUGA
rnacentral:rRNA from 1 species